rnacentral:rRNA from 1 species
UACGUAGGUGGCGAGCGUUGUCCGGAUUUAUUGGGUUUAAAGGGUGCGUAGGCGGUCUUAUAAGUCAGUGCUGAAAUAUCCCGGCUUAACCGGGAGGGUGGCAUUGAUACUGUAAGACUUGAGUAAAGUUGAGGUGGGCGGAAUUGACGGUGUAGCGGUGAAAUGCUUAGAUAUCAAGUGGAACACCAGUGGCGAAGGCGAGUCCCUGGACACUUCCUGACACUGAGGCACGAAAGCUAGGGGAGCAAACAGG